AUUGAACGCUGGCGGCAGGCUUAACGCAUGCAAGUCGAGCGGAGCGAGGGUGCUUGCACCUUAGCUUAGCGGCGGACGGGUGAGUAAUGCUUAGGAAUCUGCCUAUUAGUGGGGGACAACAUUCCGAAAGGGAUGCUAAUACCGCAUACGCCCUACGGGGGAAAGCAGGGGAUCUUCGGACCUUCCGCUAAUAGAUGAGCCUAAGGCGGAUUAGCCAGUUGGUGGGGUAAAGGCCUACCAAGGCGACGAUCUGUAGCGGGUCUGAGAGGAUGAUCCGCCACACUGGGACUGAGACACGGCCCAGACUCCUACGGGAGGCAGCAGUGGGGAAUAUUGGACAAUGGGCGGAAGCCUGAUCCAGCCAUGCCGCGUGUGUGAAGAAGGCCUUUUGGUUGUAAAGCACUUUAAGCGAGGAGGAGGCUACUAGUAUUAAUACUACUGGAUAGUGGACGUUACUCGCAGAAUAAGCACCGGCUAACUCUGUGCCAGCCGCCGCCGUAA
rnacentral:rRNA from 1 species